GACGCAGAGGCAAAUACAAAACCCAAAACGCCCGUAUGAUUUUAUGGCAUAUGGAAACCGAGCAGAGUACUGGGGAAAUUACAGCAGAAACUGCUUUAAGGUUUGCUGGCCUUAGCUCGGGGUCCCUCCUGCACCCGCACUGCCUUUGCUCCUGCUCCUUUGGCUUUUUGAGGAAGUUUUAAUAGACAUAAUAAGCUAAAGUACAAGUCUUGAGUACAAGUGACGAGCGGAGCCGGGCCACGCUGGCUGUUUUUGCUGUUAGUACAAGACGCGCUGAAGUCAUCGGGCAAACGGGGCACGGUCCAAGCAUGCUACCGGCCUUGGAGCAUCCCCAGUGACUCGGGCAGGAUGAACACGUCCCCCGAGACCCCCGAGGGCGAGGGGCCCCCAAACACGCUAGCAAAACUCCGAGGAAACUUCUCAAGUGAGAGAGAAGUUAUAAAGCUGAAAUGGUAAAAUAAUGUCUACCGGAGAGAAGACCCACUAAAAGAGUUGAAAGGAAGAAAUAAAGAGAAGAAAACAGAACACUAAAACCUAGAGAGUGACUACAGCUUUUUGACAAAAUGAUGAAUUUUUAUUGUGCUGCAUCUUCGCUUAGAUGAGACCUGCUUUCUCAGAGAGGCUGCGGAUAGCGCGGAGGGCGUUGGGGUAAUCGCGCGCUGCGACGACGGCAGCGCAGCCCGUGUGCUGCGGAGGAAAUUUCACCCCUUGACUUUACAGCAAAUGCAGCACGGCAGCACAUUUAAUCAGCCUGAGCAGGUUUCCGAGGCUAAGACUCGGUUAUUUCCCCCCAUGCAGGGAACAUUGGGAAGAUGCUUUCAAGCACUGAUGUUUGAGGCGGAAUGGGCUGAAGCUUCCGCUUUUAGUGACAACGUUUUCUUGGCACCUAGCUCAAUUGCACCGUUCUGGACGAUACGCUGUUUUGCUACAUUUUUAAGCCAGCGCAGGUUGGUACCGCUUUUUGCGGCCGUAUACUCUGUCCCAAGAUGCAGAUUUCAUCCCCAUCAGGCCAUGUUUAAAUAUGUUUUCCACUAGUGUUUUUGCAUUCUAUGAAAACACUUUAAUAUUUCUGUUUACUCUUUUGGAGACAAAAAUCAAUAUUUGUUAGACGCAAUUAUGAGGAGUAUGCUGUCAGUGGUAUAAGAGCAUGAAAAAUAAUCUUACGGCACACUCGUAAUAAAAGCACAGAGGAGACACAAACAAGCUGACCUGAAAAAAAAAAAAAUCUCAUCCCAAAUCAUGAAUUCCAUAAUAAACAGGAAGCUUUUCAAGUGUUGGCCUAAAUUAGAGCUGAUUAGCUGCUUCAGGGCAUUGACUGAAAAUUUGCUUAAAUAGAAGAGCUGCGUUUGUUUUGGCUGUGUUUGUGCCCCUUCAGAUUUGUUUUUGCAGCCAUCCUGCACGCAUUUGGCAUUGACUGCUCGCCCUUGCUUUCAGGCUUCCCUUUGCAUAACCUAUACGUUUUUAAAAGGCUACAGUAGACAUGUUGGCUGCCACUGCGACUUUUUGCACCGCGCCUUCUCUGCUCUGCCAACCUGUUUAGCAUCUUCUUCCUUUUUUUUUAACAUCUCUAGCUUUAAGUGGUGUUUGAACAUGCAAAGUCUGUGUUUGAGAGCGAGCUUUACAAAAUGAAGUUGUAUUGUAUUGCUAUGUUUUGUAUUAACACUUUUAACAGGUGCAAAAAUGUAUGGUUUUGGAGGAAAGCAAAGAAAUAACAUUGAAUAUUCAUAUUACUUGGGCAUAUUAUCAAGUGGCAACAAAUGCACAAGAACAACAACAAAAAAGCGCAUGUUUUGUGAUCUCAGCCAGGUUCUACCUUCGGCACAAGCAAACACAGAUAAAAUUAAUAGCAGUCUCUCCAAAUAUUUACAGCUGUUGAAUAGCAACGAUAUCUUGCCUGCUGUCCUCAAAGAAUGAAACCUUCAGUUUGAUAAUAUUGGGAGGAUUCAUGUGAUUCGAAGCUUUGUGCAAUCAGGUUCAAAAAUUCUUACCUUCGGCUUCAAAACCCAUCUGCAACCUGGCCCGAGGGAGGGAUCCUGCUGCUCCCCGUUGCCGUUAAGCACCGGUGCUCGGGAGCCCGUCUGCACAGCGAGCCCCGGCCCCGGCCCCGGCCCCGGCCCCGGCGUGGGGCAGCGAGGGGCUUUGCCCCCCCCCUGCUCCCCUGCAGGACUUGCACAGCUCACGGUCGUUGAUGCUCACAUGCAUUUUUUCCCGGUGUUCAAGGUUAAACUUUCCACUACAGCAUAUUAGUUGGUAAAAGACAAAGGACAUUGAUCAGCAGCGAUAUGGGAACAUACAUUUCACAAAAGAUUUUCAGUUACAGUACCUGAAGAUAGAUCGAUAUUUUCUAUUUGCCUUAGCACUAGGCUUAUUUUCCCUCAUCACUGGAGAGAUAUGCAGUUGUGCUUGGUACCAGGACAUUAAAGUGUUGUCCGCUGAAGAACUGCAGGGCAAACAACAGCACUUUCCAGGAGCCGCUGACACACAGGAAUACAUCACUCUUCUUGAGUGUCAUUUUCCUGCUCGUUAAAGAACCCAAAUUUGUCCCGCCUUUACGAGGCUGGCUGUGCUGCGACCCGCGGCACCGCGUCGCUGCCCUGCGUGCGUGUGCCCAUGCAGGAUGUGCACGGUUUGAGAAACUAAUUUUGGAGGCUGAACCCGUCCUAGGGCAGCCUCCGCCUGGGAUCCCAGCGAUGCUGCCGCCGCUGCCUUCGCCCUCCUCCAGCGCGGAGCAGGACCGCUGCCGGCGCGGGGUCUGGUGGCCUGGCCUGGAUGUACGGGAGAAGAGAAACACCAUUUAUUGCAGCUGAUCCAGCUGCAAUUCAGCAGAUCUGUGUGCGUUCGCUCGGGUCGUCGAUCACCGCGCAGAAGAGAUGGCAGAGUGCCUCCUUCCUCCCAGGAACGGCCUUGCUGCCUGCUCGCCGCCUCUCAGGGCCCCGACGCCCUUAUGAAAUUCCACUUGGGCUCCUGCAUCAUCAUCAUUUAAAUUAAAAUGCUUCCAUCAUCGAAACCGGCCCGUCUCGCUGAGAAUUUUAGAGAAAUUCAUCUGCCUUUCUGUAAUACAGAUCAGGUGAGCAGAACGGCCUGAACUAAAGCUCGGCUAGAGGUUUGUUGUGACCGGCAAUGGGAGUAGAUCAUCUGAGGGUGGUUGUUUGGGUGUUUGGUUAAGCGAAGGGGAGGCAGGACAAGGGGAAUGGGCCGCAGAGCUGACUGCUCCUUGGCUCUUGCGUGGGAUGCUGCAUGGGGAGCUCAGCGGACACUUUAGUGGGAAGAGGAAACGCGUGUGAAAGCAGGAGCCCCUGGGAGCUGGGCAGGAGGGAGGCUGGGGACGAAAUGCCUUGCGCAAGCCGUGUGCUGGCCACCCCAGCACCUCUGUCGGUACAGCAUGGCCGGGUCUGCAGCCGGGCUGCCGUUAUUCCCAGCACUGAGCCCGCAAAGAGCAAGCGGCCCCAGGAAAGCUGGAGAGCAGGCGGUGGCAUUCGCAGGUGGAAUUGCUGAAAUUCGGCAUCAUUAAUGCGAGGGAGAUGAGACCGACCCUUGAAGCAAGAGGAGAUACUUGGGGGCUUCCUGAGAAAUUCCUCCUAGAAAGUCAUCUAUAAGCAACCCAAAAUGGUCCAUCCACCACCGCUUGGGUUCCCCGCGAAGAUGCCUCCCAGCUGGGACCCGUGUUCGCUGGCUGCUAAUGCCCAUCACCUAAAAGCAGGAUCUUGAGAAAGGAUCUUGAAAAAUCUUCUUAAAGUUCAUAUAUCCAGAAGUUGGUUGAAUAGGUGGAUUCAUCACUCUUCUCUAGAACAGGGUAACUGCUACAGACGAUAAAUCACAUUAACAGUAUUUAAGGAUCCACUUAAAAAACACUCAGGUCUUUGCUUUGGUGCUAUGGUGUGCAGGUGUUAAUGUCUGCAAUAUUUAUCUUUAUCUCUCAUCCUGUCUUCUGGUUAGGGACAGAGUAUAAUUAAUUUCCUAUUUGUUAAUCACUAUAAGUAAAUAGUGGUGCUGGGCUGUGCUGUCCUUGUGCUGGUCUCAGGCAGCUGGGCUGAAGUUCAGCGAGAAAGCAGAGGAAAAUUUCUGGUGUUUUUAAACUGUCGUUCAUUGCUCUGACUGGAGAGAAGAGGAUGGGUCUUAUUUGAGACAUGGGAAUAGUGAGUAACGUGAAAGUAAAACACCAUAAAACAUUGGUUCCUAAGUUGCUCCCUAUAAAGCAGUCAGAGUUUAAGUGAUGAAAGCAACGAUAAGGUAGUGAAGAGAUUACAGUAACAGUAGCGAAGGAUACCUAAAUUCCGGCUUUAGCAGAUUUCACUAAAUAAAUACACAAAAGUAUUUUGAGUAGUCCACAUUAAUAUGUCCUCAUAGUUUGGAGCAUUAUACAUAUACAUUUUUAUAUACAUAUACAUUUUUAUUACUUUUAAGAAGGGAAAUGAGAUAUUUAUGCUUUCUUUCCAUAAAAAAUUAUGCAUCAAGUAAACGGUACAUUAAAGAUCAUAGCCAUGUGAACAGUAAUAUCCAUUAUUUACUUUAAAAAUUCAGAGGAUAUUAAAAUGCAGAAAGCUGCAGUUUCGUACAAGUUACAGCUAUAAAUGGUUCAUGAUCUGAUAGCAAAUUAGCACAGGCCUCCAGAAAAAUGCUAAUUUCCCCUAAGCUGCUUACUGUGCACCUGCUUCCCUUAGAAGCCCGCGUGUCUGGGGUAUCGCAGUACGUCGUCAGUCUUGUGACGUGCGUUUUGCACCAGCGCCUCUGCAGAGGCCUCGCUGCGGAUCCCCAAGCACCCAGCCACGCCGCUGCGUUUCAGCCUGUCGUCGAGUGAGUUGGUAAAGCAAAAGCUCCUGAUCUGCAAGAAAGGCGAUACGUCCGUAUGCAUCACAGGGCUUUCCGGGCGCCUCGGCAGCUCAGAGAUAUUCAGCAAAAACUGCAACCAUGUUCGGUGGAAUUGCUGGGCAACAAUAGCUUCGUAUAAUGUAAAUAUUUUUACCUAACAACAAGGUAGCCUUGCAUUCAUAUAGUAGUCUCACCAGAAAUGUAAACCAGAAAUGUAAACCUGCAUAUCAACAUAUAUUAAGCGUCAGCGAGUUUAGUUUUCACGUUUACCCAGUAAUCAUAUGAAUGCAAAAUUCCCCCACUUAUUUGUAACAAAUAUGUACAAAACAUGGUGACGUUUUGGAGGCACAAGGAUCGUCUGUCUGUUCCUUUAGACAUGCAGACCAGUGGUGUCUUUACUCUUAUAAAUCACUGUAAUGGUUUCAAAUUGCGCUGUUUCAUGGUGAUAGGGUGUUUGGUGCACUGCAUGUUUCCAAACGCUGUACGGGCUCCCUUAGCGCCAGACCCCACGCGGCCUCGAUGACGGAGCGGGAUUUCGCCCAGUCCUGUGCGUUUGGGAACAUGCAGACACCGGUGUUUAUUAUUAUUAUUUAUGCUAUUAUUUAUCGUAAAUGUUAUUUAUUUACGAUAACUGUAAUGUAAGCAGUCUUUGGCUGCUUAUUAUCGUCUUCCCGUUCAGUCACUACUGCCGCAGUAGUAACUAAUCUAGGGCUGAUUAAACACCUGCGUCAGUAUUAUAUGAUGGUAUCCAGAAUUUAUUUGUAUGUGAAGCAUGUUUCCAGCUCCCGUAUCAGCAAACAUUGCAAUUUCUAACUCAAUUGUGUACAUGUUUAGCAAGUCAAAAACAAAUCUAUUCAUGUUUAUAUUUUUGUUCAGCUUCACGGCCUCAGCAUAUGUAGGUCUUGCAGAACGCUGUUCAGAAGCUUUGCAAGGUAAAAAUGUUUUUUUUCUUUUUUCUUGAGAAUGGUUUUUACUGAACAAGAGAAGGAAUUUAAGUGCUUUUCAGUAAGGUUUGGCUCUUUAAACCCAAUUUCAGUGUGGAAUUGUAAAUAGUCUUCAGGUGCAAAAGCAUUUGCAAUGGAUAAAACAUUAUCUGAAGGCAGAGCUACAUUAAUGAGUCAUUUGUGAGGCUGCAAACAAUUUGGAGGAAUAUGGUGGUGCUUUUUCAGCUGUGUGAGAAUAGCGACACAUUCGUUGUCUUCUCAUAAAACUUCAUAUGUUCAUAAUUACAACAUCAAUUCAUCAUACUUAUCAUUGUCAUCAAUCUUGGCCUGCACCAGCUGAUGCAGACAGUGGCUUGCAAGGCUUUUUGGGGAUUUUUAGUCUAGAGCUUCUACACACACAGUACAGUUCUACGAAUAUUUUGGUUUUUUCCCUCUUCUUUAAACUUUGUAGGCUUUCCAUGCUUGCCUGCUCUGGGCUAAAUCAUGGGCUUUGUUAUAUCUGGUCACUGUAUUUUAGCAAAUCUGUCAGAAGAAACAGCCUUGUUUUCUCUGGGAAGGGCUAAGGAGCAGAUCCGACUGAUGGACGAAGUGCUGCGUGCUCACCCUGUUCAGCGAUUGGGAUGGGCAUUGGAGAGCAGGCACUUAAAUUUGGUCACCAUUUGACAGCAUGCCUCGAAAAGUCUGCUAAAAGGAGACCUGCAGACUUACUGUGUUGUUUUGAGUUAAUAUGCCUUAUUUCAUUCACUUUAAAAUUCAUGCUUUCGUUUCAUGGUAAAACAUUCAGUAUGUUGAGAAAAAAACAUCUUCAGUUGGAGCCAAAGUAUACUAGUGUGUCUUUCUAACAAAUACAAUAAUAUAAUACUACAAAAAACAAGCUCAGUACACUUUAGUAGUUUAAAAGGACUAAAGAGCUGAAAUGUGCUGUUUGAGCAAUUUGCACAAAUUGCCACACGAUUCCGUAGGUUUGCUUAACGAAUCCCUGAGUACUAUUGCUCUUCUUACCAGUGACUGACCUUAAUGUUAUCUUCUCUUGCAUGGCAAUAUAAAAAAAAAAAUAUUGCGCACAGAAAUAUGGUUCGACAUGAUGAUGUAGACACGGAUGCAAAGGGAUCUGCUUCCGACGGCCUGACUCAUGUCUAGAUAACUUCCUUCUCUCUGUAUCUCGGUUUGAGUAACUUCAGACUUUGGACAGCAGAUAUCUAGUUU